rnacentral:rRNA from 1 species
UACGUAGGGCGCAAGCGUUGUCCGGAAUUAUUGGGCGUAAAGAGCUCGUAGGCGGCUUGUCACGUCGGGUGUGAAAGCCCGGGGCUUAACCCCGGGUCUGCAUUCGAUACGGGCUAGCUAGAGUGUGGUAGGGGAGAUCGGAAUUCCUGGUGUAGCGGUGAAAUGCGCAGAUAUCAGGAGGAACACCGGUGGCGAAGGCGGAUCUCUGGGCCGAUACUGACGCUGAGGAGCGAGAGCGUGGGGAGCGAACAGG